CUGGCUCGUGACGCGGGGUGUAGUUGGGGAAACGCGUCGUGGUUCCCCUUCUGGAAGGGAGAUCCCGAGCCCCUGGCGAGUGUGAACAAGGCGUACUGUAUCUUCCUCUUUCACCAUCCCAAGGCACAAGGAUCCAGCUCUGGCCGACGACCAGUUUCUUCCUUCCUCCCCUGCACUGCCUGCAGUCCUAGCUUGCUGGAGCUUGGUGCAGCUGUCUGAGCUGAGAACCGCCCACCGGAGUCACUCGGAUUCUGCAGGAAACCCCCUGAGCGAUUAGUAACCACCAGUAGCUUUCAGUCCCGAGACAGAAGUGCCUGAGGAGACCAAAUAAAAACUGGAAUCUUUUAACUUGGUUGGAUCCUUCCUCCCUGCGGCAGUGUCAACCACAAUGUUUUUAUCCUCAGUGUGAGAACAUGGCUAUCUGCCAAUCAAUGGUCACUAGAGAAAGUCUGUAUCAUAAAGGGGUACAAGGUGAUGGAGCAUCUCUCAUUCAGAACACUAUCACACCAACAGCACAAGGUCCUUAACAGACUGGAAGCAUUUAAACCUCUGCUACCUGUAAGAGCACUUUAGGCAAGCUCAGCCUAUGGCAUAAGCCUAUGAUCCCAUCAUUCAGGGGACUGAGUCAGGAAGGUUGUGAUUUUAAGCCAAUAAGACACAUAAUGGAACAUUGUAUC